ACAUUUUUUUAAUAGUCCAAAGAUUUUGUUUUAUAAUUUUUUGUAAAAAAUAAUGUACAUAAUCAGUGCCGUAACUGAAUUACUUGAAGCUCGUGUGUAAAUCAAAUGCUGAGCCCCCUAUCAUUCUACAUUUUUAGCAUUAAACCUUAUGAAGCCCCAUGAUAUGGUACGACCGGGGCCUGCGUGCGAUGCAUACUCUGCACACCCGGGUUUUACGACACUGGCUGCCGAGGACUCCCGAUAUGAGUAUCGCGGACCUCUAGAGUUUGAUAUAGGUAUAUAAUGUUACAAUUAUGAAUUGUCAAAAUCAAAAAUGCUGGGAUGUACGGUCUGGAGCCAUCAGUAUUACUCGUUUCGUGAAAAGCAGAUACUCGACAACGUCGGCAAGUAGGUCAGCGUUUUGUUCCAUGCGGAAGUGUUCCAGGCCGUACCGUUCGCACAACGUUCGGCGCAACGCGUCUACGCUGACGCCGCGACCACGCGACCCAACAAUCACGUCGCCGAUGAACAUCACCAGAUCGUCGAACUCUCGCUCGCUAGACAUAGGGUGGUUUCGGGUCGAACGGUGAUCGAUGCGGUUGAAUUCGAUCGCAGUAAAACGCAAGUAUAUCCGUUGGGUUCUAUGAUAUAAUUAUGAUUUGGUGACUACUAACAUUCGAGUGUUCAACGAUGGUUCCAAAAUUGUUUUGAAAUUUGAAUAAUCACGUUUGGUUUUCAUAAAUCAUGACAAUUUCUCAUAACUAGGAUGGAGAUGAUAAUUAAUGGUUGUGAAUUUGUUAUGUUCUUAUUGCUGAUAUAACCAUAGACUUUAUUAGUAUUAGAUCCAUGGAUAUAACAUGUAAUGGUUAGAGGUUAUUAUUAAUUUAAUACGAUAAAAAUAAAUAAAUAAAAUACACGUGUAUUUGUAAAUACCCGUCAUUAUCCAUGUAUCUAAAUACCAGACA